rnacentral:rRNA from 1 species
UUAAGAUGAGAGUUUGAUCCUGGCUCAGGACGAACGCUGGCGGCGUGCCUAAUACAUGCAAGUCGAACGAGCUCUCCCAAAUUGAUUUUAUGCUUGCAUAAAUGAUUUUUGGAUUCGGAGCGAGUGGCGAACU